GCAUAUCAAUAAGCGGAGGAAAAGAAACUAACAAGGAUUCCCCUAGUAGCGGCGAGCGAAGCGGGAAGAGCUCAAAUUUAUAAUCUGGCACCUUCGGUGUCCGAGUUGUAAUCUCUAGAAGUGUUUUCCGCGUUGGACCGCACACAAGUCUGUUGGAAUACAGCGGCAUAGUGGUGAAACCCCCGUAUAUGGUGCGGACGCCCAGCGCUUUGUGAUACACUUUCAAUGAGUCGAGUUGUUUGGGAAUGCAGCUCAAAUUGGGUGGUAAAUUCCAUCUAAAGCUAAAUAUUGGCGAGAGACCGAUAGCGAACAAGUACCGUGAGGGAAAGAUGAAAAGCACUUUGGAAAGAGAGUUAACAGUACGUGAAAUUGUUGGAAGGGAAACGCUUGAAGUCAGACUUGCUUGCCGGAGCUUGCUUCGGUUUGCAGGCCAGCAUCAGUUUUCCGGGGUGGAUAAUAACGGUUUGAAGGUAGCAGUCUCGGCUGUGUUAUAGCUUUCCGUUGGAUACAUCCUGGGGGACUGAGGAACGCAGCGUGCUUUUUGCGAAAGACUCGUCUUUUUCACGCUUAGGAUGCUGGUGGAAUGGCUUUAAAG
rnacentral:rRNA from 1 species